rnacentral:rRNA from 1 species
AUGGCUGCCAUGUGGUCUCUGAUCAUCGCUCUCCUCCUGCUUCUGCUCCCACUCGUGCCGUCCUCCUCCUCCGCCAUCACGCUCCCGCUCCAUGGCAACGUCUACCCUGUCGGCCACUACUAUGUUACGAUGAAGAUUGGUAACCCCCCGAUGCCCUACUUCCUGGACAUCGACACCGGCAGCAACCUCACCUGGCUGGAGUGCAAACACCCGCAACUCGGCUGCCAGCACUGCACCCAGCAUCCAAAACACCCACAUUACUCGCCACAACUUAUCAACUUGAAGGUGGAAUGUAAUAACAAGUACUGUGAUGCACUACGGAAAGACCUGGCAGGUGGUAACCCUAUAUGCCAACAUAAGAAGCCGCAUCAAUGCCACUACAACAUUCAAUACGUUGAUGGGACGUCAGAUGGUGUCGUCUCCUUUGACAUGAUCUCUCUCGGGGAAAAUGGAAAAUCCAUUGCCUUCGGAUGUGGAUACAGCCAGCAACCACAGAAAGAAACAUCACCCGUAGAUGGCGUCCUUGGUCUUGGGAUGGGAACGGUAGGUUUUGUCCCACAACUCAUGCUGCACAAGAUGAUCACCAAGAACAUCAUUGGGCAUUGCCUUGGCAAGGAUGGAGGGGGCUACCUCUCCUUCGGGGAGCAGUUUCACCUGGGAGGCAUAACCUGGGCACCCAUGAGAAAAUAUGAACUUUUCUACUCACCUGGCCAAGCAUCACUACACCUGAACGGGCAGCAGAUAUACAAGCAUGGAGUGAAUGCUGUCUUUGACAGUGGAUCCACCUACACCUACAUACCUGCCCGGAUAUACAAUCCCUUUGUUCUUAAGGUGCAAGAUAUGAUCGGCAGUUCACAUAGGGAGGUGCAUGAUGAUGACCUGCCACAUUGCUGGAAAUUCAAAUCUAUUCACGAGGUUCAGAGGUUGUUCAAGCCACUUUCAUUGCAGUUUCACAACAAAAUUGCCAUGCAUAUCCCUGCUAUGAACUACCUCAUCCACACGAGAAGCAAUAAUUGGUGCUUGGCCAUCCUCAACGGAACGCAGAUCCCUGAUGGAGACCGACGGAUCUUAAUUGGAGAUGCUACAAUGCGGGAUAUGCUUGUGAUAUACGACAAUCAGCAUGGUAGGCUGGGAUGGGUUCACCAACCACAGUGCACCAGGCCUCAUCCUGCUUCGCGUCUCUGA